CGAAGAAAUGAGAUAGCCCUUUACCCUUCUCUUCACUUCCGCACAAAAUCUCUCCUUCAAAAUUCACUCAAUUUUCAGUGCCAUCCUCACCAAAGCCCCAAAUUCCAAUCCACCAGCCAUGGCCACCGUGAUCAUGGCCUCUUCCAAACCCCUUAUCUCCCUCCCCACCCCCACCACCAGCAGACCCAAACUCCAAAUCCCCCAACUCACCCUCCCCACCAAACUCCCCAAAAUCACCAAAACCCAACUCGCAUCCCUCUCUUCUUCCACCCUCAAAUCUCUCUCACUCCUUGCAGCCACCUCCUUCACCUUUGCUCCGCCCUCUCUCGCCGAAGAAAUUGAAAAAGCUGCUCUCUUUGACUUCAACUUAACCCUCCCAAUCAUGAUGGUCCAGUUCUUGAUCCUUAUGGUCACUCUGGACAAGCUUUACUUCUCUCCUCUUGGAAAAUUCAUGGACGAGAGAGACGCCGCGAUCAAGGAGAAGCUGAGUAGCGUCAAGGACACUUCAGGGGAGGUAAAGGAGCUAGAAGAGCAAGCUGCGGCGGGUAUGCGUGCUGCGAGGGCGGAAAUAUCGGCAGCACUUAACAAGAUGAAGAAGGAGACGCAGGCUGAGUUGGAGGAGAAGCUUGCCGUUGAAAAGAAAAAAAUAGAGGCAGAAUUGCAAGAAGCAUUGGGAAAUUUGGAGAAUCAGAAGGAGGAAACUAUCAAAUCACUUGAUUCGCAGAUUGCUGCUCUCAGUGAUGAGAUUGUGAAGAAGGUUCUUCCUGCAUAAUAAUUUCAUCUUUUGCUAUCUCCGAAAACUUUGGAAUUGUUGAUGUUUAAAUAUAUAUAUGCUUUAGAAUACAUUGAUGGGCAAUGUAAUGAUCUUACUGAAAACAAAUAAAUAUUUAAACAUCAACAAUUCCAAAGUUU
rnacentral:misc_RNA from 1 species